rnacentral:rRNA from 1 species
AUUGAACGCUGGCGGCAGGCUUAACACAUGCAAGUCGAGCGGGGGAAGGUAGCUUGCUACCGGACCUAGCGGCGGACGGGUGAGUAAUGCUUAGGAAUCUGCCUAUUAGUGGGGGACAACAUCUCGAAAGGGAUGCUAAUACCGCAUACGUCCUACGGGAGAAAGCAGGGGAUCUUCGGACCUUGCGCUAAUAGAUGAGCCUAAGUCGGAUUAGCUAGUUGGUGGGGUAAAGGCCUACCAAGGCGACGAUCUGUAGCGGGUCUGAGAGGAUGAUCCGCCACACCGGGACUGAGACACGGCCCAGACUCCUACGGGAGGCAGCAGUGGGGAAUAUUGGACAAUGGGGGGAACCCUGAUCCAGCCAUGCCGCGUGUGUGAAGAAGGCCUUAUGGUUGUAAAGCACUUUAAGCGAGGAGGAGGCUACUUUAGUUAAUACCUAGAGAUAGUGGACGUUACUCGCAGAAUAAGCACCGGCUAACUCUGUGCCAGCAGCCGCUGUAA